rnacentral:rRNA from 1 species
AGCAGCCGCGGUAAUUCCAGCUCCAAUAGCGUAUAUUAAAGUUGUUGCAGUUAAAAAGCUCGUAGUUGAAUUUCGGGGUCUGUCCAUCGGUCGGGCUUUUUCGGUCCGCACUGUUGCGAUGGAUUCCUACCUUCUGAAUAACCGAUUUGCCAUUAAUUUGGUGGGUCGGGGAAGCAGGACUGUUACCUUGAAAAAAUUAGAGUGCUCAAAGCAGGCUAGUGCCUGAAUACAUUAGCAUGGAAUAAUAAAAUAGGACGGCAUGGUUCUAUUCUGUUGGUUUCUAGGAUCACCGUAAUGAUUAAUAGGGAUAGUUGGGGGCAUUAGUAUUCAAUUGUCAGAGGUGAAAUUCUUGGAUUUAUUGAAGACUAACUACUGCGAAAGCAUUUGCCAAGGAUGUUUUCAUUAAUCAAGAACGAAAGUUAGGGGAUCGAAGACGAUCAGAUACCGUCGUAGUCUUAACCAUAAACUAUGCCGACUAGGGAUCGGACGAUGUUAAUUUUUUAAUGACUCGUUCGGCGCC